AAGGAGGUCGGGUGGAGGGGGCUGAAAGUCGGGGUGGUGAGGAAGUGGUGGGUCACGCAGUCAACGUCCUCACCACCCUGACUUUCAGCCCCUGCCA
rnacentral:miRNA from 1 species